UACGUAGGGUGCAAGCGUUAAUCGGGAUUACUGGGCGUAAAGCGUGCGCAGGCGGCUUUGCAAGACAGAUGUGAAAUCCCCGGGCUCAACCUGGGAACUGCAUUUGUGACUGCAUGGCUGGAGUGCGGCAGAGGGGGAUGGAAUUCCGCGUGUAGCAGUGAAAUGCGUAGAUAUGCGGAGGAACACCGAUGGCGAAGGCAAUCCCCUGGGCCUGCACUGACGCUCAUGCACGAAAGCGUGGGGAGCAAAAGGG
rnacentral:rRNA from 1 species